rnacentral:piRNA from 1 species
UGGCAGGUGUUCUGAUGAGGA